AAAAGAAGUUCAAGAACGGCUUCAGAAUGAAGCUUUCUUGAUGGAGGGGAGCGGCAGACGGGUGAGUAACGCGUGGGAAUCUACCCAUCUCUACGGAAUAACUCAGGGAGACUUGUGCUAAUACCGUAUACGCCCUUAGGGGGAAAGAUUUAUCGGAGAUGGAUGAGCCCGCGUUGGAUUAGCUAGUUGGUGAGGUAAAGGCUCACCAAGGCGACGAUCCAUAGCUGGUCUGGGAGGAUGAUCAGCCACACUGGGACUGAGACACGGCCCAGACUCCUACGGGAGGCAGCAGUGGGGAAUAUUGGACAAUGGGCGCAAGCCUGAUCCAGCCAUGCCGCGUGAGUGAUGAAGGCCCUAGGGUUGUAAAGCUCUUUCACCGGUGAAGAUAAUGACGGUAACCGGAGAAGAAGCCCCGGCUAACUUCGUGCCAGCAGCCGCCGUAAUAC
rnacentral:rRNA from 1 species